AGAAAAAAUUAGAAAAAUCUUAGAAAAUUAGAAAAUUCUGGUAGAGCUGAAAGAUUUGCCCCAUGUCCAAUAAAAAAGAGAUGGGCUCACCAGAUACUGACAGCAUUACCCAGAUCAUGGAUUGAGUGAUAAUAGUUGGGUAAUAAGUCCAGUGGCCAUCAAUCCUCUGUUGAUAGGCUGUCCACUAUCAGGGAGAGGAUGUUUGCCAACCUGAGGUUUGUGUCUGUGGACCUGUGGGAAUUGGAAGUAAUCAUAUGAGAGAGAAGAGUCUCAUUGAGUGCAUUCCAAUUUCCAGUGUCCCCUUUGGUGACAGAGAGGGCAUGGCCCAGGCAGAGGUUUAGACUUAGGGCAUGCAUUUGCCCAGUGUCCCUGUUGGUCAUAUUUGAAUCAUGGUGCACAGGACCUUUGUUUAUAAGGUCUUUGGGGACCUUGUGUGAGUGCAUCUGCCAGCAUUUGGUAUUUGGCUUGAUCUUGGUUGAGUUUUUGUGUUUUUAAUUCCUCUUCUCUAUUGUUGUAUACCUUAAAGUUCAGCUUUACAAAUUCAACGUGAAGGGUCUGUGGUCCAUUCUCCAGUUUUGUAGCUUUUUUUUUCUGAUACCUGGAGUAGACUGGAGAUGAAAUUUAAAUGAAGACAGAGUCUGCCAUCUUCUGAGUCAGGUUCUUUCUGAAUUGGGAGAGAAAGAGGGCAAGGUGUUCAUCAUUGCCUUGAGUUACUUCGUUAAUCUUUUCCUAGGUGACUGCCUUAGGACAGCCUUUCCAUGCCUGCCAGGAUGUAGGUAAUUGGAUGACCUAACUUCAAGCUUUCAGCAGAAUUGAUCUGAUAGCUAGGGUUUGUGCUGGGAACUUAUGUGGUACCAAUGGGUUUAUUGGCAGAAUUUGGGCAGUGUCGGGUGUCUGCAGGGGCCCCAGCUGCUGACAAGAUGUUAUCCUUAUCCUCAGAGGAAAGAAUAACACAAAUGUCAUGCCAUGUGACAGAGGUCAUAGGACUGGGUAAUGUGUAGGAAUUCCUUUCAAAAUAUGGUGGGAUCUGAAGCAAAAAAAGCCUAAAUUCUUCUAUCUAUUGUCCAUCUAAUAGGACAUGGACACAUAUAAUGCCUUGUACUCCUACUAUUUCAUGAAGGGGGAGGACCUUGAAGGGAGCAGAAGUUUCCAUUGGGAGAAGCCCACGGUAGUGAUUGUGUUGCAGGGAAUGAAGCAGUAACGUGGGUGAGAAUGGGAAUAAGAGAGAGUUGAUUCUGAGGCUGAGAGGGAGGCGGUUCAUCUGCAGGGUCAAAAUCAGUGGCUGAGGGAGAGGCAGAGGGAGCAGAGGGAGGGGAUGAAAGGGAAGAAGGGGCGUUAUGGAUAAUGGAAGGGGUGUUUUAUUAAGAAGAAGAAAGUGAAACGUAGAGUAGUUUGGGCAGAGAGCAGGUCUGGAGAAAUCCCAGAAGACCUGAACAUUGGGAACGUUGGACCAUUUGCCAUUGCGGUGAAGAAAGUUUUCAAGAUUUCUUAGAAUUUGGAAGCCAAAAUCAAAGCCAUUUUCAAGCUGGUGACUAUUAUUGGCCAUCUUGUAUUAGGGACAGGCAGAAUUGCAGAAGAAUAUGAGUCUUUUAGGAUUCACUGUGUCUUUGAGACCUAGGGUCUGGAUAUGUGUGAGAAGGCACCCCAAUGAAUUAUUUCAUGGAGGUUUUGAUGUGAUCUGUCCCAUGAUGAACAAGAUGGAUUGAAGAGGGCCCCAAAGGACUCCAGGAGAGAGAAAAGCCAAAACUAAGAGGUGUCCACAAAAUAAUUUGGUUUCUCUAAGGUUGUUCCAGGAAUGACCUGUGGAACCACAGGCAUUCAAUGGGCAUUCCCAAGGAAAGCAAGUCAUUGACACCCAGUGGUGGCAGGGUUUUUCUCUCACCCAGAACUGUGAUUUGUCAUAGAAACAGUCAGAGGAACAGUAUCUUCAGAGGGAAAAACCACAGCAGGGAUUCCAGGAAUCUAGAGGAAUGAAGGUGGAGUGGUAUCACUCAACCAGUAGGCGAUGAUGGCUGGUGGUGGAUGUGAAGUCCAGCAAUGUGAGUGGUUCCUACUAGAGCCCCUGGAGGGAGAGAAGGGAGAAUGAGAGGGAAAAUAGAGAGACCGGGUUGAGGUAAAAUGAAGCCACUUGUGGUGGGAAACUUGAACACCCGUUCCAGGUUUGGCACCAAACAGAAAGAAAGAAGUGAAUGAAGAAAAUAAAGAGAUAGGAGAGGUGGCUCACCAGUAACAUAGGUUUAUUUGGGACACACCUGUGGACACUGAGACCCAUCUUUCUUUUACAGCCUCAGUUAGAUAUAGGGGCAUGAGGGAAUGGGGGAUAUUUUUGGUUAGGCCACUUCAAGUGUCAGAGAAGGGUCCUUUUGUUUGCCAUCUUUAUUCUAUGAGGUGGUAACUAUUGUCACUAUUUCAUGUUGAACCAGGUGUUUUCAAGAUUCCUGUUCCAGAUAGCAAUUACUCUUCUUUUAAAAAAAAAAAAUUGUUCUCUUUAGAUAUAAAUGACAAGAGCAUAUAUUUUUACAUAUUGAUAUAAACAUGGAGUAUAUCUUAUUCUAUUUAUGAUACCAGACUUGUGGUUGUCAUUGAUGUGGACAUUCAUUGUGGUGUAUUCAUAUAUGUACAUAACAAAGUUGUGUCAGAUUCAUUCAACUGUAUUUCCUAUUCCUAUCAUCCCUCCCUUCCUUUCCUUUCAACAGAUUAAUGGAUAAAGAAAAAGUGGUGUAUAUGCACAAUGGAAUAUUACACAGCCAUAAAAAGAAUGACUUCAUGAUUUCUGCUGGUUCAAUGGAAUGAUCUGGAGACUUACACGUUAAUUCAAGAAAGCCAAUGUCAAAAUACCAAAGUUCAAAUAUUCUGUUUGAUAUGUGGAUGCUAACACACAACAAGGGAGAUGGGAAAAAUAGAAGUUCAGUGGAUUAGACAAAGGGAAUUUCCUUUCUUUGUAUAGUGAUGAGGUAUUAUUUUGGGUUUCUUUGCAUGAUGACAGAGUAUUUUCUGGGGCUUAAGGUCAGGUUAAUUAAAAGUGACCAUGAGGUGACUCUUAUUCUAAGAUGGGGAAUACAUUUCAAAAUGGUAUUGCCUCUGUCAAGUUCUACCUAACAUUCCCUAUAAUAACAUUGACUGUAAAUAGUCUAAACUCUUCAAUGAAAAGACAUAGAUUAGCAGAUUGGAUUUAAGAACAAGCCCCCAAAAUAUGUUGUUUGCAGGGGACUCACUUUCCAGGAAAAGAUACCCACAGACUGAAGAUAAAACUAUGGGAAAAGAUAUAUUAUGCAAACUGUACCUGCAAACAAGCAGGGGUAGCCAUUCUCAUAUCAGACAAAGUAAAUUUCAGGCCAAAAUUAAUCAUAAGAGACAAAGAAGCCAUAAAAAAGAAUAAAAUUGGGUUAUGAACUCCCAUUUUACAUAUUGCCAUACUAGUGUCUGUUGUAUUCUGCUGCCUUUCCUAUCCUCUACUAUCCCCCCUCCCCUCCCCUCCCCUCUUCUCUCUCUACCCCCUCUACUGUCAUUCAUUUCUCCCCCUUGUUUUUUUCCCCUUCCCCUCACUUCCUCUUGUAUGUAAUUUUGUAUAACCCUGAGGGUCUCCUUCC
rnacentral:lncRNA from 1 species